AGCAAUGACAACAGACUUUUCUGUGGGCUGAACGUAGUGAAGGUAGCUUGGUUGGAAAGGUUAAGUCAAAAAAGGUGAAAUUGUAUGUACGUAGUCGCUAUAGCUCAACUAUUGGAAUGAAAGCUUCGGUUUCGAAAGUAGAGAGAAGGCAGCAAGCAUAGGUCCUUCGGUCCAUAGGCAGGCAUUCAUUUCUGUCUCAUUUUCAUUUCAGGAAAAAUCUGUUGCCGCUAUAUAAAUCACACAUGCGUAAGGUUCACUGGCUUGAGAAAUUUAACUGGUUCACCAGCACUUGGAACUAUUUGGUUAUUAGCAGGCGUGAUGCUCAGCAAAAUGAGAAGACGGUCAAGCGUUAUAUGUCAAAAGGAGAUCUGUAUGUCCAUGCAGAUCUGGAGCUACUAGUACUGUGAUAAAAAACCACAGGCCUGAACAACCUGUACCUCCUCUCACAUUAAAUCAAGGAGAAUACCUUAUAGAUGAAGGAGAAGUAUGGCAAUCAGGACGAGGAAGAGAGGAGCAUUCGGAUGGCUUUACUGGCUGGGAGCACUAUGACUUAAUCUACUUUU